GUAAGCCAAACAGCCUCUAAAUGAUUUUGUUACCGGGGAAGAAGAAGAGAGAAGAAAAUGAUAGUCCGACUUCGAGGUCUCUCAUUUUCGUCGCCGCCGGCGAAGCUCAAACACUUCCUUCCCUUCUCUCACUUUGCAUGUAAUAAUACAAAACCUUCUAUUCCGAUUUCAUUCGUCGUUGAACCCCAAAACCCUACUAAAACCCUAAAACCCUCACGCCUGUUCCUCGGCUUCAGGCCCUUUUCUUCUCAUUCCAAACCCACCCAAAUCCCAACUCUACUCCUCAACAGGGACGGAAAUUACCAUGAAUCCGACUCCCAGACGCAGAAUGAUCACAACUCCAUCAUUUGCCAUGGGUGUGGUGUUCCCAUGCAGGGCUCCGACCCGAAAUUGCCUGGAUUUUUCCUCAAACCAACCCCCAAAAACCCCGAUUAUAGGUAUUCGAUUCAUCGGAUUCCAGUUGCCGACGAGGCGGAGAUAUCGUAUUCUCUGAAAAGAGGCAUUAUCAGAGAGCAGGAAAAUGAAGAAAGCCCCGAAAAGGCCAGCCCUAAUUUGCCCCAGAAGCUGGCGGUUUGCGCGAGGUGCCACUCGCUGAGGCAUUACGGUAAGGUGAAGGACCCGACGGUGGAGAACUUGUUGCCGGAUUUCGAUUUCGAUCACACGGUUGGGCGGAAGUUGAAUUCGAUUACGGGGGCGAGGACGGUGGUUAUGAUGGUGGUGGACGCGGCCGACUUUGACGGCUCCUUCCCGAGGAAGGUGGCACAGUUGGUUUCGGCCACCAUCGACGAGCAUUCGGCGGCCUGGAAGGAGGGGAAAUCCGGGAACGUGCCGCGGGUGGUGCUGGUGGUGACGAAGAUUGAUUUGUUACCGGCGUCGUUGUCACCGACGAGAUUUGAGCAUUGGGUUCGGACGAGGGCCAGAGAGGGAGGAGCUAACAAGAUAACGAGUGUGCAUUUAGUGAGUGCAUUGAGGAAUUGGGGGCUGAAGAAUCUGUUUGAUGAUGUAGUGGGAUUGGCUGGGACGAGGGGGCAUGUGUGGGCGGUGGGGGCACAGAACGCCGGCAAGUCGACGUUGAUCAAUUCGAUGGGGAAGCAUGUUGGUGGGAAAGUUACGCAUUUGACAGAGGCACCGGUCCCUGGGACUACAUUGGGGAUUGUUAGGGUUGAGGGAGUGUUGCCGGGUCAGGUGAAGUUAUUCGAUACACCGGGACUUUUGCAUCCUCAUCAGAUCUCUACUAGGUUAACCAGGGAAGAGCAGAAACUUGUGCACAUGAGUAAGGAGUUGAAACCCAGGACCUAUAGAAUCAAGGCAGGACAUUCAGUUCAUAUUGGUGGACUCCUGAGGUUAGAUAUAGACGAGUCAUCAGUUGAUUCUGUUUAUAUUACAGUGUGGGCAUCACCUUAUCUUCCACUUCACAUGGGGAAAACUGAAAAUGUGCACAACAUGCUGGAAGAUCAUUUUGGUCAUCAAUUACAGCCACCAAUUGGCGAGAAACGCAUUAAGGAGCUUGGGGUAUGGGCAAGAAAAGAAUUUCGUGUUUGUGGCUACAGUUGGGAUUCAAGUUAUGUGGACAUUGUUGCUGCAGGUCUUGGUUGGUUUGCUAUUGCACUUAAAGGAGAAGCUCUUUUUGGUGUUUGGACAUAUGAUGGAGUUGAUGUUGUUUUACGCAAUUCCUUGAUUCCCCAUAGAGCAACUAAUUUUGAAGUUGCAGGGUUUACGGUCUCAAAAAUUGUCUCCAAGGCUGAUCAAGCGUCAAAUAAGUUGACCCGCCAAAGUGGAAAAAAGCAGAAGCAGGGUGAUCUGAAAACAGAGAUCUCUGCUGCAUGAUCAUCUUGAACAAUGGAUAAUGAUUCAAACUGAAUGCGAUGAAAGUCUCACUGAGAGAUACCAUAUCGGGGGUAUGAAUGGAGUUCUGAUACUCCAUUGAAGCUGGAAAGAUGAUUAGUUGUCCUCGUUCAGAAGUAUUCCCAAGCAGGGAGUACCCACAAAAAUUCCAUAACCAACUGAAGCUCAUGCUGAUUACAUCGUCAAACACAGGUGACAGUGUUGUCUUUUGCUGUUCUGGAAGUUCCUUUGCUCCUCAUCGGGCCAGUUCUCCAUUUGAUCAAGGUGAUUCUGGCUCUAUUUGGGAGUGAAAUGUGCCGUCUUUGGGUAGGUGCUUUCUUCUCAUCUUGAUUUUGCUAUCAUGGGAGAAGAGUCAUUUAAGUGUUGUGUGAUAGAAAUUUUGCUGCUAAUGCUCGCGAAGAGUUCUACAUAAAUUGUGUGAUUCACCCAACAAGAACGUGUCUGGAAAACUGGCACCCUUAAAAUUUCAGGUUGUAAUAUGAGGAAUCAUGGGCAGUGUCUCUAACGGAAAUAGCCACUUUUGAACUUUGGAUGCUUCUGGGUCUUGGGUAUUAAUGAAACACAAUGCUCCCGUGCUUGCUGCUUUAGUUCUCCUUUUCAAUUAAAACUUUAGGGUAUUAGUUGCUUUUUUUUCCCCAAACGUGGGGAUAAUUUUUGCUAUUAUCCCUUAACUUUGUGAUUAAAAAGCAUUCCUUGUGUUAUCAAUGGAAUGGAUCCACAUAGUAUGGAUACAUUAUUGUGAUUAA